AUGAUACACACGGUUUGUGAGAUUUUCUCCGAAAUUCAAAAGUUUCCUCUUCACUGGCACAAACCUAAAAUUAAGGAGGGCUUCCACAACCAUCCAUGGGAGCUGGUUCUCCAGCAAGAUUACAUCAUUAAUGAUAAAUUUUUCGUUGGAGUGAAAAACAUAUCGCAAUUCUGGGCAGUCAAGCAGGUCCUUGUUACCAAGCAUAAACUCGAGCAAGAAGCAUGCAUCAUAGAACAUGAUAGCCGCAAAGUCAGCAUGGCUGAUACCUGCCACCGCGUCUUCGGCAUAGAGGCAGCCAUGCCCUUCGCUUUCUCCAUCUGCUGGAGGUGGGGUGAGCCAUGGUGGUAA
rnacentral:rRNA from 1 species